AGUCAAUAGAUACCCGGGUAGUCCACGCCGUAAACGAUGUCGACUUGGAGGUUGUGCCCUUGAGGCGUGGCUUCCGGAGCUAAACGCGUUAAGUCGACCGCCUGGGGAGUACGGCCGCAAGGUUAAAACUCAAAUGAAUUGACGGGGGCCCGCACAAGCGGUGGAGCAUGUGGUUUAAUUCGAUGCAACGCGAAGAACCUUACCUACUCUUGACAUCCAGAGAACUUAGCAGAGAUGCUUUGGUGCCUUCGGGAACUCUGAGACAGGUGCUGCAUGGCUGUCGUCAGCUCGUGUUGUGAAAUGUUGGGUUAAGUCCCGCAACGAGCGCAACCCUUAUCCUUUGUUGCCAGCGGUUAGGCCGGGAACUCAAAGGAGACUGCCAGUGAUAAACUGGAGGAAGGUGGGGAUGACGUCAAGUCAUCAUGGCCCUUACGAGUAGGGCUACACACGUGCUACAAUGGCGCAUACAAAGAGAAGCGACCUCGCGAGAGCAAGCGGACCUCAUAAAGUGCGUCGUAGUCCGGAUUGGAGU
rnacentral:rRNA from 1 species